GUUCGAGUAAGCGAGUGUAAAGCUGCCAUGCUAGCCAGGUAACGUUAGCUAACUCUUUUAGCUGUGCUAAAGGACUGAACGGUGUCGCUAAAAACUUUCGAGGCUAGUGGCAUCCAACAGUUUACCCACAGAGCCAGUGGGUGAAAGAAGACAGGUGGACAAAGAAAAAAUAAGGACUAAAAUGCAUCAGACUACAUAACAUCACUGCUGCACAUGGCUUUGUUUAAGAGAUGCAAAAUGGGAAAGGAGGUCUAUCUGCAGAGAAUCUGGAGGUGGGAGAGGUCUCUACAUGCAGCCCCGGCCAAGUGCAGUGACACCUCGGUGACAUACACGGGGCUUCUUUUUGGAAUGAGUUGAUUUUGUCCCCAUAUUAGAGCAAAGACUGAAAGCAGGGGUCCCAAAAGAUCCAAGGGGCUCUGCUUGGCUAUUUGAGUUAUUUUACUUGUAAAGGCGAGGCUAGACAUCAUUUACAUUUUUUUGUUUAUUUUUAGCAGCUUUUUGAAAAUAGAUUCCAGCUGGACUUUUCUUUGAUACUGAGCCACUUCCCACAACUGGUUUAAAAGUGAUUUUGUUUGUUUAGUUGUUUUCCCCUGCUGACUUAGUUUGAAACGCUGGAACUGUCCCUCCUGCCGCCACCCUCAGUUUCUUCAACCCACCCAGUGCCUCAAUAAGCCCUCUCGGGACAAUCACAAAAGUCAUCAGCAGCUGCUACGCUCAAUCCUCUGCCUGCUCUCCUCCAUGUGCUUCUGCUCUCGGCGUGCUGGCUAUUCACUUACUACCUCUUUAAUUUUCUGGUCUUUUCAUAUUAAUUUUCUCUGAGAGGCAUAAUCUAAACUCAAGCACAGCAACGAGGAUUGAUGGAAACACUGAGUUUCAGGAGUGGAGAGAAACCUAGGUUUUUCCAUAUGUAGUUGUAUAUGGGAGUGUCUGCACUUUUGUGUACAUGCAAAGCAGUGUCAGGGUUGCAGCUUAAGAUUACAUUUAUUUAUAUUGUUGCACCAAAUAUAGUUACAUUAAAGCCAUACAAAAAUAUUUAUAAAUUACCUACACAUAUUUUUGUAUCACAUUUCUCUUGUAUAGUUUUGCUUUUAUAUGCUUCUAUUAAGAUUAUGCACACAAAUUAAAUAUUUACAACAAACUACACACAUGCAAGAAUAGCUGUAUAUUGCUAUAUUAAAAAAUUCUACAUUUUUGAGUGAUUAAAUUAGUUCUUGGAGGCAUUUUGUGUGUCAACACAGGGAAUCCCUCAUGUUUCUAUUGAGUUGCUGCUUUGCAUAGUGUUGGUUUUCUUUUCCGGUCUGUAGUCAUGGCCCCUCCUCCCAAACAAACACCAUAUUUGCUAUUUUGACCAGUAAAGCACCUUUUACAGUAGGUAGACAGUAGAUAUCUACCUCUCUGUCUUCCCUCCCUCUCUCUCUGUCUCUGAUGCCGGGCUUCAGUGGUGGGGGGGUUGGGGGAGGAGUAGGUGGCCCAGCUUCUGCUCCUCCCCGUCCAUUUCGACCCAGCCGAUAUGUCCCGGUGUCUGCAGCCACCACUUUCCUUGUUGGAUCCACCACCCUGUUCUUUUGCUUCACGUGCCCGUGGUUGUCAGAGUAUUUCUCCUCUGUUAUUCCCAUUUAUAAUGCCGUGAUCUUCCUCUUCACCCUCGCCAACUUCUGCAUGGCCACUUUCAUGGACCCUGGAGUCUUCCCCAGAGCGGAGGAGGAUGAGGAUAAAGAGGAUGAUUUCCGCGCUCCACUCUAUAAGACAGUGGAGAUCAAAGGCAUCCAGGUGCGCAUGAAAUGGUGCUCAACCUGCCGCUUCUACCGCCCACCACGCUGCUCACACUGCUCAGUCUGCGACAACUGUGUGGAGGAUUUUGACCACCACUGUCCUUGGGUGAACAACUGCAUUGGACGGAGGAAUUAUCGCUAUUUCUUCCUCUUCCUGCUUUCACUUACCACCCACAUCAUGGACGUAUUUGGGUUUGGCUUGGUUUAUGUCCUCCACCACCGCCAGCAGCUGGACACGCCACACGCUGCUGUUACUAUGGCUGUAAUGUGUGUGGCUGGUCUGUUUUUUGUCCCAGUCGCUGGCCUGACUGGGUUCCACAUAGUGCUGGUGGCCCGCGGCAGGACCACAAAUGAACAGGUGACAGGAAAGUUUCGGGGUGGCGUUAACCCUUUCACCAAUGGCUGCUUGAGGAAUAUUUCACAUGUGCUCUGCAGCUCCCAGGCGCCCAGAUAUAUGGGCCGGUGGCGGAGCCCUCAAUCCGUGGAAAUACAGCCACCAUUUCUUAGACCGCCUCUUACUGAGGCCCAGCUAGAAGCCAAGGUCCUGGACAAUGGCAUUCAGAAUGAUCGACACAGCACCAGGUCCAAGAGCAGUCUAGAUCAGAUGGAGAGCCAGUCCGCUGAUGCAGAGCCUCCACCGCCUCCAAAGCCGGAGCUGCGAUACCCUGGCCUGCCCCGCGCUGACACAGAGGAGAGCAGUUUGUUAACUGAAGCUCCACCUACGCCAUCAAUGUACAAGUACCGACCAGCCUACAACAGCCCAGGAAGGAACCACACUGCCCUCACACACCCCAACAAGAUGAUUCGUGGGGAGAGUCUUGACUCUCCAUCUCCCUCCAUCCUCCAGUCCAGCCGUCAGCCUAGCUAUCGCUCGGAGCCGAGCAGCCUGGAUGGGGCGACGGUGGUGGGGGGAGGUGUAGGGGUGCGCAGAGGGGGAGGGGAGAGGGGUGAGGGCCCUGGAGGCCCUGGCGGGACUGCUGGGGUGGUGUCAGGGGGCAUGUCAGGUUACUCCCUGACUGGGCGCUCCUACACCUCCUACCCAUCCUCUCUCGUUCUGUCUGCUGGUGGCUCACGCUCCUCCAGCCUGCGCUCGGCGCACACAGCACAUAACCCGCUGGCCACGCUCCAAUCAGAAGGCACCACAGACACCAGCUACAAAAGCCUGGCCAAUCAGACGCCUCGGAAUGGCAGCCUGUCCUAUGACAGUCUGCUGACACCAUCCGAGAGCCCAGAGUUCGAGUCAGCCGCCCACGAGCUGUCGCCACAGAAGCCUCAUGCUCCAUUUCCCUCGGCGACUAUAAGGGGCCAGCAUGAGGUGGUGUCACCCAGUACCCCACUUCAGGGUUACAUGUCGCCCUUCCUCUCAGCUCAGAUCGCCCAGCAGAGGGAGGGGCAGCUGCUCCAGGGCUCUGCCACUUUCUCCUCCCCCCACAGGGCCUACCUGCGUGCCGUCAGCCCACCCCCUCCCUCCUCCACUGGGCCUCCUGAGACCCACCACCUGCUCCAUCAUAACCAGGACGCCUCUUUCCGAGGCCCCCGUAACCUUUCCUCCUCAUCCUCAUCCCCUGGGGCACGCUCACUAGAGCCCCCUGUCUCCCCACCACCUCGUGGCCUGUCCCUUGGCAAGUCCCACUCUUACACUGGGGAGGCAGGACCUCAGCACAAGCCUCGACCUGCAGGAGGAGGUGCUGUGCUGGGAGGGGGAGGAGCCGGAGGAGGGCAACAGGCUCCACAGUGAGUAGUGAUCCGUCGCCAGAUCCGUCAGCCUGCUGCUCUUCCUCCUCCUUUUCCUCCUAAUCCUCCUCUUCUUCCUCCCUGGUUUGUGUCAGCCCUACUCUUCCUCUCUGAUCUGUAUCCACCUCUCGCCCAGUCUUGGCCAAUCACACCAUAUCCAAACCAGGGGGCGGGGUGAAGAAGGUGACUGGCGUCGGGGGGACCACUUACGAGAUAUCGGUUUGAGUGACAGACGUCCUUCAAGGUCUAUCACAAGGAGGGGGAAAAAGACACUGGACUACUUCCACUAGUCUCUUCAUUGAGCUGGAUAUUAUCCACGACUGCAGGCUCCUCAAAAAUGACGGUUUUCCGCUGCAACUGACUGAGGGAGCAAUCCUGUCUGGUACUCACUUUGUUAUCUUUGUAAUGCCACUGGCCAGUCUUCUCUGCCAGCCUUUCAGAUUUGAACAAAGAGGAACUGGGGACACUGGUUCAUUUUUCACAGGAUCAAUUUGUGUCCAUUUAGUCACUUUGUGAGCCAUAGACUGAUGGGACUGUAUCAUCACGACUGGGUACAGAUAUGUCUAUAGAACAUACAUAGCUACUCAAUGAUUUGCUGUUUUACUUUGGUACAUUAGCACAGUACAGAGUACUGACAGCGUUGUCCGACACUUAAAGAAAGGAUGGCCUUUAUCCAGUGGAUGUAAAGAGGGAAGGAUUUAGGACUGUUGACCGAUAGAAACGUCUUCUUUUCCACUGUCUGAACGGACCACACAGCCUGUUUAUUGAUAAGAGUCGUGGAGAAAAGAGUCCAACCUGUAAACACAGUAUCAUUUUAGUUUUAUAAAUCUUUUUUUAAAUAUUGUUUUAUAUACAUGUAUAAAAUCUUACAGAUUGUUAUUGGGUCAAAUUGUCAGAUAUUGAAGAUGACUAUUGAUGAGGGUGGCAGAUGUACUGUGUGUAAUUAUUCAUGAAAGCGAUUUUCAAAUCAGUUGCCUGUUUAUAUUUGAUGGCUGCAUCAGCCGCUCACGAGCUCUUGCUGGAAUUGUCAUCGUCCAAAGAGAAUGAUGAUCCUUUGGUGGACAGCUGAAGUGGCAAAUCAUUGAGCUUAAUUUUUCAAAGCCACAAAGAAAUUCUGAAUCACGGUUGCAGCACAAGCAUCUUUGUGGAAUGUACGCUUGUAAUGUUUAUGCUAGAGACAUUAUGCAAAAUCUGUUUGUAGCUUUAAGGUCAUUGUAUGUCUUUUUGGUGUUUUUUUUUGUUUUUUUUCUUCUUCUUUUCUGUAAUGUUUUGUCUGUCAGUCAGUCGAGAUGUUAGCAUAACCUUGUACCUUUAACGGAUGGCCAGCCAAAUAGGGGCAGCGAGGGAAGGGCUUAUUUAUUUCACCAGACAAGACAACCUUAUAGUUCUGGACACAUUUUCAAACCAGUCUCUACCAGUUUGCUUUUUUUUUUUCAUUCUUUUUUUGAGAGGAGGUAUGAAUAUUUUUUCUGAAAAAAAGUUUACAAAUGAAAUUGUAAAUGCAAUAUGCCACUGAGUAGAUUUUUAGGGAGGGACUGGUUUGCAACUGGAGACUGUGUUGAUUGUUGUUUUGCCUUGAGACCAUUCAUAGUGAAGCAAGCAGAUUUUUAUUUUUUUCUAUUUUUUUUUUACACUUUUCUGAGAAAAAAAUGAUUUGUUUUGAUUGACUUGCUAAUUUUAAAAAAAUUACUCUGUAAAGGUACCGUUCUUCUUUUUUUUUUCCUACAGCCAUGUUGAGAAAGGAAAAUUAACAGGAAGGGAGGUGUGUGUGCGAGUUUGUCUUUCGGGAUUGGGCAUUACAGUAAAGGAUGUAUUUAAUUUUAUUUUUUCUGUCAAGACCCACAGCGGUGUUUGCAGCAGAAUGUCAAAGCUGGCUUAAAGUAGCACAUCUUUGGGGGAAAGUACACGCUUGAAGCACACAAGUAACAUUGUUCAACCCUCCCAGGCUAUGUCUUCAGUGUGCAUGUGAUUUUUGUUUGUCGUGCUGAAUGCUUCACUGGCGUGCAUACUUGUGAGAAUAUUGUCAAAUGCCUAACUGGUUCAUGUGUGGGUGGUAACAAGAAAAGAAACAUCACUAAUGGCACAAGCCGCCAUCGUAAAGAGAUAAAAAGAACCUGUGUUACUUUUCUUCCUUGUCUGGCCAAGGAUGGUGGCCGUUGAACAAUUGGACACCAUGUGAGUAUAGUAAGUUUACUUCUAUGUGAGAUAAAAUAUCGCUAUUGUGGGCUGUGAUGAACGGAACGAGUUUCACAAAUAUCUGUAAUGAGUACAUUAAAGACAUUUCCAAAAUGGCCUUAUCAAGAAUUUUUAAAAAGAUGUCUUAUCAGAAUAAAAAGGUCAAACUGAUGAAAAAAC